GGGGAAUAUUGGACAAUGGGGGCAACCCUGAUCCAGCCAUUCCGCGUGAGUGAAGAAGGCCUUCGGGUUGUAAAGCUCUUUCAGCUGGAACGAAACGGUACGCUCUAACAUAGCGUGCUAAUGACGGUACCGGCAGAAGAAGCACCGGCUAACUACGUGCCAGCAGCCGCGGUAAUACGUAGGGUGCGAGCGUUAAUCGGAAUUACUGGGCGUAAAGCGUGCGCAGGCGGAUUGUUAAGCAAGAUGUGAAAUCCCCGGGCUUAACCUGGGAAUGGCAUUGUGACUGCAAGGCUGGAGUGCGGCAGAGGGGGAUGGAAUUCCGCGUGUAGCAGUGAAAUGCGUAGAUAUGCGGAGGAACACCGAUGGCGAAGGCAAUCCCCUGGGCCUGCACUGACGCUCAUGCACGAAAGCGUGGGGAGCAAACA
rnacentral:rRNA from 1 species